GUGGGGAAUAUUGCACAAUGGGGGAAACCCUGAUGCAGCGACGCCGCGUGAGUGAAGAAGUAUUUCGGUAUGUAAAGCUCUAUCAGCAGGGAAGAAAAUGACGGUACCUGACUAAGAAGCCCCGGCUAACUACGUGCCAGCAGCCGCGGUAAUACGUAGGGGGCAAGCGUUAUCCGGAUUUACUGGGUGUAAAGGGAGCGUAGACGGAAUGGCAAGUCUGAUGUGAAAGCUGGGGGCUCAACCCCCAAACUGCAUUGGAAACUGUUAAUCUGGAGUGUCGGAGAGGUAAGUGGAAUUCCUAGUGUAGCGGUGAAAUGCGUAGAUAUUAGGAGGAACACCGGUGGCGAAGGCGGCUUACUGGACGAUGACUGACGUUGAGGCUCGAAAGCGUGGGGAGCAAACAGGAUUAGAAACCCUAGUAGUCC
rnacentral:rRNA from 1 species